UACAGAGGUCUCAAGCGUUGUUCGGAUUCAUUGGGCGUAAAGGGUGCGUAGGCGGGUCUUUAAGUCCGGGGUGAAAUCCUGGAGCUCAACUCCAGAACUGCCUUUGAUACUGAAGAUCUUGAGUUCGGGAGAGGUGAGUGGAACUGCGAGUGUAGAGGUGAAAUUCGUAGAUAUUCGCAAGAACACCAGUGGCGAAGGCGGCUCACUGGCCCGGUACUGACGCUGAGGUGCGAAAGCGUGGGGAGCAAACAGG
rnacentral:rRNA from 1 species